UACGUAGGUGACCAGCGUUGUCCGGAUUUACUGGGCGUAAAGAGCUCGUAGGCGGUCCGUCACGUCCGCUGUGAAAACCCAGGGCUCAACCCUGGGCUUGCAGUGGAUACGGGCAGACUAGAGGUAGGUAGGGGAGAAUGGAAUUCCCGGUGUAGCGGUGAAAUGCGCAGAUAUCGGGAGGAACACCGGUGGCGAAGGCGGUUCUCUGGGCCUUACCUGACGCUGAGGAGCGAAAGCGUGGGGAGCGAACAGG
rnacentral:rRNA from 1 species